GGGUACGAAGUGCGAGCUGGGGGGGAAAGAGGUGGGGGGCAAGGGUGGUCCGGAAUGACUGGGCGGAAAGCGCGGGCAGGCGGCUAUCGAGGGCCGGGGUGAAAGCCCAGAGCGCAACUCUGGGACGGCCGUGGAGACGGGAUGGCUGGAGGAUCGGAGAGGCAAGGGGAAUUCCACGUGUAGCGGUGAAAUGCGUAGAGAUGUGGAGGAACACCGGUGGCGAAGGCGCCUGGCUGGCCGAUUUCUGACGCUGAGGCGCGAAAGCGUGGGGAGCAAACAGGAUUAGAUACCCGAGUAGUC
rnacentral:rRNA from 1 species